rnacentral:rRNA from 1 species
AAAUUGAAGAGUUUGAUCAUGGCUCAGAUUGAACGCUGGCGGCAGGCCUAACACAUGCAAGUCGAACGGUAACAGGAAACAGCUUGCUGUUUCGCUGACGAGUGGCGGACGGGUGAGUAAUGUCUGGGAAACUGCCUGAUGGAGGGGGAUAACUACUGGAAACGGUAGCUAAUACCGCAUAACGUCGCAAGACCAAAGAGGGGGACCUUCGGGCCUCUUGCCAUCGGAUGUGCCCAGAUGGGAUUAGCUAGUAGGUGGGGUAACGGCUCACCUAGGCGACGAUCCCUAGCUGGUCUGAGAGGAUGACCAGCCACACUGGAACUGAGACACGGUCCAGACUCCUACGGGAGGCAGCAGUGGGGAAUAUUGCACAAUGGGCGCAAGCCUGAUGCAGCCAUGCCGCGUGUAUGAAGAAGGCCUUCGGGUUGUAAAGUACUUUCAGCGGGGAGGAAGGGAGUAAAGUUAAUACCUUUGCUCAUUGACGUUACCCGCAGAAGAAGCACCGGCUAACUCCGUGCCAGCAGCCGCGGUAAUACGGAGGGUGCAAGCGUUAAUCGGAAUUACUGGGCGUAAAGCGCACGCAGGCGGUUUGUUAAGUCAGAUGUGAAAUCCCCGGGCUCAACCUGGGAACUGCAUCUGAUACUGGCAAGCUUGAGUCUCGUAGAGGGGGGUAGAAUUCCAGGUGUAGCGGUGAAAUGCGUAGAGAUCUGGAGGAAUACCGGUGGCGAAGGCGGCCCCCUGGACGAAGACUGACGCUCAGGUGCGAAAGCGUGGGGAGCAAACAGGAUUAGAUACCCUGGUAGUCCACGCCGUAAACGAUGUCGACUUGGAGGUUGUGCCCUUGAGGCGUGGCUUCCGGAGCUAACGCGUUAAGUCGACCGCCUGGGGAGUACGGCCGCAAGGUUAAAACUCAAAUGAAUUGACGGGGGCCCGCACAAGCGGUGGAGCAUGUGGUUUAAUUCGAUGCAACGCGAAGAACCUUACCUGGUCUUGACAUCCACAGAACUUUCCAGAGAUGGAUUGGUGCCUUCGGGAACUGUGAGACAGGUGCUGCAUGGCUGUCGUCAGCUCGUGUUGUGAAAUGUUGGGUUAAGUCCCGCAACGAGCGCAACCCUUAUCCUUUGUUGCCAGCGGUCCGGCCGGGAACUCAAAGGAGACUGCCAGUGAUAAACUGGAGGAAGGUGGGGAUGACGUCAAGUCAUCAUGGCCCUUACGACCAGGGCUACACACGUGCUACAAUGGCGCAUACAAAGAGAAGCGACCUCGCGAGAGCAAGCGGACCUCAUAAAGUGCGUCGUAGUCCGGAUUGGAGUCUGCAACUCGACUCCAUGAAGUCGGAAUCGCUAGUAAUCGUGGAUCAGAAUGCCACGGUGAAUACGUUCCCGGGCCUUGUACACACCGCCCGUCACACCAUGGGAGUGGGUUGCAAAAGAAGUAGGUAGCUUAACCUUCGGGAGGGCGCUUACCACUUUGUGAUUCAUGACUGGGGUGAAGUCGUAACAAGGUAACCGUAGGGGAACCUGCGGUUGGAUCACCUCCUUACCUUAAAGA